CCCUACCCCAAAGAGACCUCACCAUGAGCCCCUACCCCACAGAGACCUCACCAUGAAGAGGUGAAGGAGUAGGAUUUCCUUUGAAGGAUCUUGAAGUCCUUGACAGAUGAGAAGAAUAUUGAAGCUGGCUAAGAAGGUCACAGCUGGAAGGCCUGAGCUGCUUUGCUGAGGGGUAGUGGGCCCUGCUGAACAAGACGGCAGUUAACUAUGGCUAACUGAAAACAAGAAAAGUGAAACCACAGGGGGAUGACCACACCUGAGAGAAAACAGCUGGAUGAAUUCCAGUGGAAGCCGACUUGACCUUCAGCUACCAGCCAGUGACCCCAGCUCACAUUGUGUCUGGAAUUGGUAGGUUCUUGGUCUCGCUGACUUCUGGAAUGAAGCCACCAACCU